CUGUCUGAAUAUGGGGGGACCAUCCUCCAAGGCUAAAUACUCCUGACUGACCGAUAGUGAACCAGUACCGUGAGGGAAAGGCGAAAAGAACCCCUGUGAGGGGAGUGAAAUAGAACCUGAAACCGUGUACGUACAAGCAGUAGGAGCACCUUCGUGGUGUGACUGCGUACCUUUUGUAUAAUGGGUCAGCGACUUAUAUUCAGUGGCAAGGUUAACCAUCUAGGGGAGCCGUAGGGAAACCGAGUCUUAACUGGGCGCCAUAGUCUCUGGAUAUAGACCCGAAACCGAGUGAUCUAGCCAUGGGCAGGUUGAAGGUUGAGUAACAUCAACUGGAGGACCGAACCGACUAAUGUUGAAAAAUUAGCGGAUGACUUGUGGCUAGGGGUGAAAGGCCAAUCAAACUCGGAGAUAGCUGGUUCUCCCCGAAAGCUAUUUAGGUAGCGCCUCGGACGAAUACUACUGGGGGUAGAGCACUGUUAAGGCUAGGGGGUCAUCCCGACUUACCAACCCUUUGCAAACUCCGAAUACCAGUAAGUACUAUCCGGGAGACACACGGCGGGUGCUAACGUCCGUCGUGGAGAGGGAAACAACCCAGACCGCCAGCUAAGGUCCCAAAUUACAGCUAAGUGGGAAACGAUGUGGGAAGGCUUAGACAGCUAGGAUGUUGGCUUAGAAGCAGCCAUCAUUUAAAGAAAGCGUAAUAGCUCACUAGUCGAGUCGGCCUGCGCGGAAGAUGUAACGGGGCUAAGUUGUAAACCGAAGCUGCGGCAAUGUUCUUUGAACAUUGGGUAGGGGAGCGUUCUGUAAGCCGUUGAAGGUGUGUUGUAAAGCAUGCUGGAGGUAUCAGAAGUGCGAAUGCUGACAUGAGUAACGACAAGGGGGGUGAAAAACCUCCCCGCCGGAAGACCAAGGGUUCCUGUCCAACGUUAAUCGGGGCAGGGUAAGUCGACCCCUAAGGCGAGGCCGAAAGGCGUAGUCGAUGGGAAACGGGUUAAUAUUCCCGUACUUCUUACAAUUGCGAUGGGGGGACGGAGAAGGCUAGGUGGGCCUGGCGACGGUUGUCCAGGUUCAAGUGCGUAGGCU
rnacentral:rRNA from 1 species